ensembl:lncRNA
UGACGCCGCCGCCAUCUUGUGGCUCAGUGCGGCCUCGGGAGCUGGGCCGCGUUUGUGGCUGGAGCUGAAGCGGGGCCUGGCUUGUGGCGGCCACGCUGCAGGGGAUCCGUGCAGGGAGCUCCUCUGUGUUGUGUAAAGCGCCUCACGCUGAGCAGCAGCUGCUGCUCGCGGUGUUCCAAGGGCUGCUGGCUCAGGUGGCUCAGAGCGCUGCUGGCUGUAAGCCCAGUGAUCCCUGAGAGGAGUGAAAGGAAAGCACGUCCCUCGUGAAUAGCCUGCUGCCGCCUUCCUUGCAUAAAGCACACCAGUGUGAGCAGCGAGGCAAACACACCUGCUGUCUGCUCGUGGUCUGCAGGAUGCUGCCCGCCGCUUCUCAUGGAGCUGUAGGACCAUGGAAUGGUUGGGUUGGAAGGGACUCAAAGAUCACAGAAUGGUUGGGUUGGAAGGGUCCUUAAAGAUUGCAGAACCACAGAAUGGGUCCUCAAAGAUCAUACAGUGGUUGGGUUGGAAGGGUCCUUGAAGAUCACAGAACCACAAAAUGGUUGGGUUGGAAGGGACCUUAAAGAUCACAGAAUGGUAUGGUUGGAAGGGUCCUUAAAGAUCACAGAACCAUAGAAUAGUUCGGUUGGAAGCAACCUUAAUGAUCACAGAACCACAAAAUGGUUGGAAGGGUCCUCAAAGAUCACACAGUGGUUGGGUUGGAAGGGUCCUCGAAGAUCACAGAAUGGUAUGGUUGGAAGGGUCCUUGAAGAUCACAUAACCACAGAAUGGUUGGGUUGGAAGGGACCUUAAAGAUCACAGAAUGGUUCGGUUGGAAGGGACCUUAAAGAUCACAUAACCACAGAAUGGUUGGGCUGGAAGGGACCCCAAAGCCUCCCCAGCCCCAAUCCCUUGUGGGCUGGUUGCCACCUGAUCAGGCAGCCCAGAGCCCCAUCCAGCCUGGCUUUGAGCAAGCACCUCCAGGGACGGGGAAUCCACAGCUCCCCUCUGUCAGGACCUCACCACUCUCUGAGUACAGAAUUUCCUCCUCAUGACUGACCUGAAUGUCUCAUCUUUUAGUUUAAAGCUCUGCGCUGACAGCCAUGAGGAAGAGUGGAACGCA